rnacentral:rRNA from 1 species
GGGUUGUGAGGUUAAGCGACUAAGCGUACACGGUGGAUGCCCUGGCAGUCAGAGGCGAUGAAGGACGUGCUAAUCUGCGAUAAGCGUCGGUAAGGUGAUAUGAACCGUUAUAACCGGCGAUUUCCGAAUGGGGAAACCCAGUGUGUUUCGACACACUAUCAUUAACUGAAUCCAUAGGUUAAUGAGGCGAACCGGGGGAACUGAAACAUCUAAGUACCCCGAGGAAAAGAAAUCAACCGAGAUUCCCCCAGUAGCGGCGAGCGAACGGGGAGCAGCCCAGAGCCUGAAUCAGUGUGUGUGUUAGUGGAAGCGUCUGGAAAGGCGCGCGAUACAGGGUGACAGCCCCGUACACAAAAAUGCACAUGCUGUGAGCUCGAUGAGUAGGGCGGGACACGUGGUAUCCUGUCUGAAUAUGGGGGGACCAUCCUCCAAGGCUAAAUACUCCUGACUGACCGAUAGUGAACCAGUACCGUGAGGGAAAGGCGAAAAGAACCCCGGCGAGGGGAGUGAAAAAGAACCUGAAACCGUGUACGUACAAGCAGUGGGAGCCUCUUUAUGGGGUGACUGCGUACCUUUUGUAUAAUGGGUCAGCGACUUAUAUUCUGUAGCAAGGUUAACCGAAUAGGGGAGCCGAAGGGAAACCGAGUCUUAACUGGGCGUUAAGUUGCAGGGUAUAGACCCGAAACCCGGUGAUCUAGCCAUGGGCAGGUUGAAGGUUGGGUAACACUAACUGGAGGACCGAACCGACUAAUGUUGAAAAAUUAGCGGAUGACUUGUGGCUGGGGGUGAAAGGCCAAUCAAACCGGGAGAUAGCUGGUUCUCCCCGAAAGCUAUUUAGGUAGCGCCUCGUGAAUUCAUCUCCGGGGGUAGAGCACUGUUUCGGCAAGGGGGUCAUCCCGACUUACCAACCCGAUGCAAACUGCGAAUACCGGAGAAUGUUAUCACGGGAGACACACGGCGGGUGCUAACGUCCGUCGUGAAGAGGGAAACAACCCAGACCGCCAGCUAAGGUCCCAAAGUCAUGGUUAAGUGGGAAACGAUGUGGGAAGGCCCAGACAGCCAGGAUGUUGGCUUAGAAGCAGCCAUCAUUUAAAGAAAGCGUAAUAGCUCACUGGUCGAGUCGGCCUGCGCGGAAGAUGUAACGGGGCUAAACCAUGCACCGAAGCUGCGGCAGCGACGCUUAUGCGUUGUUGGGUAGGGGAGCGUUCUGUAAGCCUGUGAAGGUGUGCUGUGAGGCAUGCUGGAGGUAUCAGAAGUGCGAAUGCUGACAUAAGUAACGAUAAAGCGGGUGAAAAGCCCGCUCGCCGGAAGACCAAGGGUUCCUGUCCAACGUUAAUCGGGGCAGGGUGAGUCGACCCCUAAGGCGAGGCCGAAAGGCGUAGUCGAUGGGAAACAGGUUAAUAUUCCUGUACUUGGUGUUACUGCGAAGGGGGGACGGAGAAGGCUAUGUUGGCCGGGCGACGGUUGUCCCGGUUUAAGCGUGUAGGCCGGUUUUCCAGGCAAAUCCGGAAAAUCAAGGCUGAGGCGUGAUGACGAGGCACUACGGUGCUGAAGCAACAAAUGCCCUGCUUCCAGGAAAAGCCUCUAAGCAUCAGGUAACAUCAAAUCGUACCCCAAACCGACACAGGUGGUCAGGUAGAGAAUACCAAGGCGCUUGAGAGAACUCGGGUGAAGGAACUAGGCAAAAUGGUGCCGUAACUUCGGGAGAAGGCACGCUGAUAUGUAGGUGAAGUCCCUCGCGGAUGGAGCUGAAAUCAGUCGAAGAUACCAGCUGGCUGCAACUGUUUAUUAAAAACACAGCACUGUGCAAACACGAAAGUGGACGUAUACGGUGUGACGCCUGCCCGGUGCCGGAAGGUUAAUUGAUGGGGUUAGCGGUAACGCGAAGCUCUUGAUCGAAGCCCCGGUAAACGGCGGCCGUAACUAUAACGGUCCUAAGGUAGCGAAAUUCCUUGUCGGGUAAGUUCCGACCUGCACGAAUGGCGUAAUGAUGGCCAGGCUGUCUCCACCCGAGACUCAGUGAAAUUGAACUCGCUGUGAAGAUGCAGUGUACCCGCGGCAAGACGGAAAGACCCCGUGAACCUUUACUAUAGCUUGACACUGAACAUUGAGCCUUGAUGUGUAGGAUAGGUGGGAGGCUUUGAAGUGUGGACGCCAGUCUGCAUGGAGCCGACCUUGAAAUACCACCCUUUAAUGUUUGAUGUUCUAACGUUGACCCGUAAUCCGGGUUGCGGACAGUGUCUGGUGGGUAGUUUGACUGGGGCGGUCUCCUCCUAAAGAGUAACGGAGGAGCACGAAGGUUGGCUAAUCCUGGUCGGACAUCAGGAGGUUAGUGCAAUGGCAUAAGCCAGCUUGACUGCGAGCGUGACGGCGCGAGCAGGUGCGAAAGCAGGUCAUAGUGAUCCGGUGGUUCUGAAUGGAAGGGCCAUCGCUCAACGGAUAAAAGGUACUCCGGGGAUAACAGGCUGAUACCGCCCAAGAGUUCAUAUCGACGGCGGUGUUUGGCACCUCGAUGUCGGCUCAUCACAUCCUGGGGCUGAAGUAGGUCCCAAGGGUAUGGCUGUUCGCCAUUUAAAGUGGUACGCGAGCUGGGUUUAGAACGUCGUGAGACAGUUCGGUCCCUAUCUGCCGUGGGCGCUGGAGAACUGAGGGGGGCUGCUCCUAGUACGAGAGGACCGGAGUGGACGCAUCACUGGUGUUCGGGUUGUCAUGCCAAUGGCACUGCCCGGUAGCUAAAUGCGGAAGAGAUAAGUGCUGAAAGCAUCUAAGCACGAAACUUGCCCCGAGAUGAGUUCUCCCUGACUCCUUGAGAGUCCUGAAGGAACGUUGAAGACGACGACGUUGAUAGGCCGGGUGUGUAAGCGCAGCGAUGCGUUGAGCUAACCGGUACUAAUGAACCGUGAGGCUUAACCUUACAACGCCGAAG